AAGACUAUAGACCUGCGGAGUACCUGCGGAAGGAUCAUUACCGAGUUCUCGCCCCUCGCGGGGUAGACCUCCCACCCACUGUGAUCACUACCGUCGUUGCUUUGGCGGGCCGCUGGGCCCAGCCCACCGCCGGCCCCGGCUGGCGCGUGCCCGCCAGAGGCCCUACAAACGCUGGAUAUCAGUGCCGUCUGAGUACACAUGUUAAUCGUUAAAACUUUUAACAACGGAUCUCUAGAUCGG
rnacentral:misc_RNA from 1 species